rnacentral:rRNA from 1 species
UACGAAGGGAGCUAGCGUUGUUCGGAAUCACUGGGCGUAAAGCGCACGUAGGCGGAUGUGCCAGUCAGGGGUGAAAUCCCGGAGCUCAACUCCGGAACUGCCUCUGAUACAGCACGUCUUGAGUCCGGAAGAGGUGGGUGGAACUCCGAGUGUAGAGGUGAAAUUCGUAGAUAUUCGGAAGAACACCAGUGGCGAAGGCGGCUCACUGGUCCGGUACUGACGCUGAGGUGCGAAAGCGUGGGGAGCAAACAGG